CGCUGUCACUCCUACGGGAGCAGCAGUAGGGAAUCUUCCACAAUGGGCGCAAGCCUGAUGGAGCAACACCGCGUGAGUGAAGAAGGGUUUCGGCUCGUAAAGCUCUGUUGUUAAAGAAGAACACGUAUGAGAGUAACUGUUCAUACGUUGACGGUAUUUAACCAGAAAGUCACGGCUAACUACGUGCCAGCAGCCGCGGUAAUACGUAGGUGGCAAGCGUUAUCCGGAUUUAUUGGGCGUAAAGAGAGUGCAGGCGGUUUUCUAAGUCUGAUGUGAAAGCCUUCGGCUUAACCGGAGAAGUGCAUCGGAAACUGGAUAACUUGAGUGCAGAAGAGGGUAGUGGAACUCCAUGUGUAGCGGUGGAAUGCGUAGAUAUAUGGAAGAACACCAGUGGCGAAGGCGGCUACCUGGUCUGCAACUGACGCUGAGACUCGAAAGCAUGGGUAGCGAACAGGAUUAGAUACCCUGGUAG
rnacentral:rRNA from 1 species